rnacentral:rRNA from 1 species
UACAGAGGUCUCAAGCGUUGUUCGGAUUCAUUGGGCGUAAAGGGUGCGUAGGCGGCUUUUUAAGUCAGGGGUGAAAUCCUGGAGCUCAACUCCAGAACUGCCUUUGAUACUGGGAGCUCGAGUCCGGGAGAGGUGAGUGGAACUCCGAGUGUAGAGGUGAAAUUCGUAGAUAUUCGGAAGAACACCAGUGGCGAAGGCGGCUCACUGGCCCGGUACUGACGCUGAGGUGCGAAAGCGUGGGGAGCAAACAGGG